rfam:Puccinia triticina 1-1 BBBD Race 1 supercont2.19, whole genome shotgun sequence.
CCGCCGAUCGUCUCAAAAUCCGUAAGGGCGAGACUGUAAAUCUUGAGGUCGCUGGUUCGAUCCCGGCUCGGGGGA